rnacentral:rRNA from 1 species
ACGGGAGGCAGCAGUGGGGAAUAUUGCACAAUGGGCGCAAGCCUGAUGCAGCGACGCCGCGUGAGGGAUGACGGCCUUCGGGUUGUAAACCUCUUUCAGUAGGGAAGAAGCGAAAGUGACGGUACCUGCAGAAGAAGCGCCGGCUAACUACGUGCCAGCAGCCGCGGUAAUACGUAGGGCGCAAGCGUUAUCCGGAAUUAUUGGGCGUAAAGAGCUCGUAGGCGGUUUGUCGCGUCUGCCGUGAAAGUCCGGGGCUCAACUCCGGAUCUGCGGUGGGUACGGGCAGACUAGAGUGAUGUAGGGGAGACUGGAAUUCCUGGUGUAGCGGUGAAAUGCGCAGAUAUCAGGAGGAACACCGAUGGCGAAGGCAGGUCUCUGGGCAUUAACUGACGCUGAGGAGCGAAAGCAUGGGGAGCGAACAGGAUUAGAUACCCUGGUA